rnacentral:rRNA from 1 species
UGGGGAAUAUUGGACAAUGGGCGAAAGCCUGAUCCAGCCAUGCCGCGUGUGUGAAGAAGGCCUUAUGGUUGUAAAGCACUUUAAGCGAGGAGGAGGGUACUGGUAUUAAUACUACCAGGUACUGGACGUUACUCGCAGAAUAAGCACCGGCUAACUCUGUGCCAGCAGCCGAGGUAAUACAGAGGGUGCGAGCGUUAAUCGGAUUUACUGGGCGUAAAGCGUGCGUAGGCGGCUAAUUGAGUCGGAUGUGAAAUCCCCGAGCUUAACUUGGGAAUUGCAUUCGAUACUGGUUAGCUAGAGUGUGGGAGAGGAUGGUAGAAUUCCAGGUGUAGCGGUGAAAUGCGUAGAGAUCUGGAGGAAUACCGAUGGCGAAGGCAGCCAUCUGGCCUAACACUGACGCUGAGGUACGAAAGCAUGGGGAGCAAACAGG